GAAUGUAAACAAUCGAUUUGAAGGUUUGUUUCAGCUUUUGUGACAGCUGGAAGGAUCAGGCUGAUUUGUCUCCAUGAUGUAAAGAAUGAUGAUGGCAUUAAAAAUUUCUUCAUGGAAAUGUAUGAAACUUACAUUAAGCACUCCAUGAACCCUUUCUACUUGCCAAACAGCACUAUCAAAUCUCCAGCAUUUGAGAAGAAAGCGCAUUUUUAUGGUCGGAAAUAUCUUACAGGGUAAUUUAUUGUUGUAAUAAUCAUUGCUCCAUUGUUUGAUUUUUAUAAUGUAACUAGUUUUAUACUCCUGAUCAUUAGCCUAUUUAGUCUUUCAGACUAUUUCUACUGAAUGAAAAUGCUCUAUGUUGUAAUGUAAUGAUCAAUUACAAAGGUUGACUAAGUAUUUUUGAAUGUAUGCAUUUGAACUUUGCAUACAGGAGGCUUUUGAAGAAUUUGCAAGCGUUGUACCUAAGUUGCAGAGUAUUUCAUCCAUUUGUUUUUUAUACCAUGUGACCCCUAUGAAGUUUGUGUUGCAGUACAAUAUUAGCAUUCCUUUGCAUAAAGAUUAUAAACUUAAUACACUUCAUUUUUUUAUUGUGAGCUAACACGUAAAGUACUGACUUUAAGAGGAAUCUGUAUUAUAAUGUGUUAAGUAAAGAAAUACCUGCUACAUUUCAGUUGGUAAUGUAUACAUGGUUAUACUGAUGAUUACAUAAUAGCUUGUCUACUUGAUUACUAAUAAAAAUACACAUGUUACUUUAGGAGCGAUAUUUUUUUGGUGUAAUAUAUAGGUCUGAAAAUUUUACUAGGUUGCUGUCAUAGUUCAACUCUAACUUGCUUGUAAAAAUGAAGCUGUCUAAUAAAACUGUUUGGAAUUGUUUUGGCUUGAGUUAGAUUAUUUUUACAUGUUAAAGAAUGCAUAUUUUCCCUCUAGUUGGGCUCAGCAGUGUUAGAAGCAAAGGGAUGGUACAUAAUUUAUUGUUUUUAUAAAUUUUCCUAUAAAGUUCAGUGGCCAUGUCAACCCAGCUAUUACACUGCAGUUUAAAAAGACAUUGCAUUUAAAAAUAAAACCAGACCAGUUGGGUUUUCACAGUACAGUAGUUACAAAAAUGCUGAAAUAUUUACCAAUAAAGAAUGCUAUGCAAUGUUUGCAAAUGCAUAUUGUUUUACCUCUGUUCAGUACAAAAGCUGAGAAAAGCUAUGUUGGUGCCUGUAAAUUUUGUAUUAAUUUCAUUUGGUAAAUUUAAAUAUUGCAAGAAUCUUAUGUGUGUAUAGUAAAGAUCUAAUUGUCAGAAAACUUCAGUAUAGACAUAGUAAUAUGUCUAUACUGUCAGUAUUCAAGACUUUGUGUUCUAACUUUACAUAAAAUGACAAAUGCUUUCCAUUACUAGAAUCUUGAUGAAGUUUGGCAGGUUUUUUUAUUAUGAACUUAAGGCUGUCUGUCUAGGCUGAAGCUGUUUAUUUUCACCAAAGCUACUCAUAGGAUCAUGUUAGUCAUAUUGCAUACAACACCAAAGAUUUUAGAUAGCAACAGCUGUUUGAUGACAGAUUUUAGUGUAUAAACAUUGCUUUUAUCUUCAAAAUUUAUGAAGUCCUUUACUAUAAAAAAUAUUUCAGUAGUGGAUUACUGUCACUCAAAGCUUAUGGAAGUUCUUUACAGGUAUUUAUGUUUCACUACUAGGAUAUAAGAUGCCCAGGAAGUAGUUUUGUGUUUGUGUACAUACAAGCAAGUAUGUUACAGAUGAAUAUUGAUCCUAUUUUGCUGUCUGAAGUUGUUAUAUGUAUAAAGUAAGUUACACAUUCCCAAUUUGUUUAUGUGAUAUAUUAAAAAUUGUUAUAUA